rnacentral:rRNA from 1 species
AAACAUAGCCUUUAGCAUACCAAGUAUUAAAGGUAACGCCUGCCCAGUGAAAUUUUAACGGCCGCGGUAUCCUAACCGUGCAAAGGUAGCGUAAUCACUUGUCUUAUAAAUAAAGACCCGUAUGAAUGGCUAAAUGAAUAUUUAACUGUCUCCUUUAACCAAUCAGUGAAACUGAUCUUUCAGUACAAAAGCUGAAAUACACACAUAAGACGAGAAGACCCUGUGGAGCUUUAAAUUUUUCCAACACACACCUACAAAACAUGUUAAUGCUAAAAAAUUUUAAGUUGGGGCGACUUUGGAGUAAAAUAAAACCUCCAAGAACAAGGCACCGCCUAAACUAAGACCCACUGGCCAAAACUUCCUAGACCCAGUACUACUGAUCAACGAACCAAGUUACCCCAGGGAUAACAGCGCCAUCUUCUUCAAGAGUUCAUAUCGACAAGAAGGUUUACGACCUCGAUGUUGGAUCAGGACACCCAAAUGGUGCAGCCGCUAUUAAAGNUUCGUUUGUUCAACGAUUAA